rnacentral:rRNA from 1 species
AGCGAACGCUGGCGGCGUGCUUAACACAUGCAAGUCGAACGUGAAAUGUAGCAAUACAGAGUAAAGUGGCGUACGGGUGAGUGACACGUGGGUAAUCUACCAAAGAGCGUGGAAUAACCGACCGAAAGGUUGGCUAAUACUGGAUAGUUCAAAUGAAAUAUAAUGUUUCGAUUGGGAAAGUGAGCUAGCAAUCGCCUUAACUUUUUGAUGAGCCCGCGUCUGAUUAGCUAGUUGGUAGGGUAAUGGACUACCAAGGCGACGAUCAGUAGCGGGUCUGAGAGGAUGAUCAGCCACACUGGAACUGAAACACGGUCCAGACUCCUACGGGAGGCAGCAGUGGGGAAUCUUGCGCAAUGGACGAAAGUCUGACGCAGCCACGCCGCGUGAGUGAAGAAGGCCUUCGGGUUGUAAAGCUCUGUCGGAAGGGACAAAAUCGUUUAAGGUUAAUAGCCUUAGAUCUUGAUGGUACCUUCAAAGGAAGCACCGGCUAACUUCGUGCCAGCCGCCGCGGUAA